UUCCUCGGUGAAAAAUAGCUAAAGGUUGAAGCGCUCACCUGCCCGGAUCACCUUUAUCCGGAUGCCUCUUCGGUCUGAGAUGCAGCACAGGUUUGAGAUAUCUCCACCGGGACUACUCGCAGUUGUUGAAGCACGGCUUACAGAAGUGACCACAUCUCCACCUUGAAAUGUCUCAGUGGAGUGGAGUUCAGAAGCCACAACAGAGCAACAGUCAGAGAAUGAUAGAACUGACCCUUCACGCCUCAAAUAAUGGCCUGCACAGCUCUUCAGAAACUAUGGGUGUCAACAAUCAAAGAGAGAUGGGAUGCUAACCUGCAACAUGUUUUUUGUAUAACUUGCCUUUGCACAUACCCUCAAUAGGGCUAGUAAGAAUUCCUUGUGAUAUUAAAAAUAUCUUACUUUCAAGAAGAUAUUUUAACAUACAAUGUUAGCUUGAUGUUUGUUACUUGAAAAUAAGACAUCAACUUCAAAAAGUUUUUUUAAAUCUUUAUAAUGUCCAGCUCUAUUUCACAAGGGUGAGUUAAGGUUGACACCAGGGUUUCAGUAAGAAAUGCUGUUAGUGAGCUUUCUUCUUCAAUUUUACAAAAAUUUCAAAUGCCAAGUGCGCUUUAAAUGUGAGGAUAUGUGGAAUAUUCAGGACAGUGUUGCCACAAUGAAUAAUAGGCAAAUUCAAUUGUUGUUGUUGUCGUUUUUAAUUAAUUAGGGUGAAUUUCUGGCAGUGCACAGAGACUGUUGUAAUCGGAGACAUCCACUUGUUUUAUUGACUCCAAUCUAUUCUGUGCACGAGUAUUUAAUGAACAAACACAUUCAUCUCCAGGUAGAUCCAGAAGAUAUGGGAUGGGAAAUGCCUGUCUGUGCAGCCACCCAAAUUAUGUUCCAGAAUAUAUACAUGGGUUCAUUUAAAACAGUUUUGCAACUUUUUGUUUAAAGAAAAAGACAAAAUAUUGUCACCAACUUCGUGAAGCACUGGACAAAUGUAAAUUCAUUCAUAUGAAAUGUACCUUAUCCAGGAAUGAUGUAGCCUAACUUGUCUAAUCAUUAGCCGCUUCACCUUUGGCCUUCUAUGCAUCUACGCUCCUACCUCUGCCUCUACCUGCAUGCAUUAUGGUGAUAAAGCCAUUAAUAUGAUGUGGAGGUAGAGGUCAUAAGCUACAGAUCACACACACAUCAAUAUUGCUCACACACUCACAUUUUCACUGCAGUAAUUCUUUUAUGAUUGAAUUAAAUGAGUCAUUGAGAUGUUGGUUAUGAUGCCUUUUCAAAUUCAUAUCACCACAGACUUGGAGGGUGGGUGUGGACCUAUGACGCUGAUAUACCAUGAGCACACACUCGCCCAAAGACGUUGUGUACACAGAUACCUUUCAGAUCAAGUGCUGAGACUAUGUCACAUUUAUGACCGUUGCAGCGGCUCCUGUUGAUCUUGGAUCUUCGCAGUCUGCUGUUCAGUUCAUGACGCCUGAACUUGUCCCUUAUCCAACAGUGCAGGUGCAGGGUUCUCUUUUCAGGAUAGAGAUGUGCAGCCGAUUUUAUGCCAGGUGUGAAACUGAUUUUUUUUUUCUUUUUUCUGUGCACUUUUCAUUGCUUAAUUGUUUUGUGAAAUUCUGGGUUAAUUUAUUCAUAAUUUAAAGGACAAGUGAUAUUGUGUGGUCUAGAUGCUGCUUGAGAAGCUUUUUCUGCCCUGCUGUGAAGGAAAUUGUAGGAAAUAAUGACAUGGCCUAUUCAAUUUAUAGCGGAGAGUUAGAUGAGAAGUUUGAUACCACCAAACAUAAGGCAGCCAGCAGCCAGUUAGCAUAGCUUAGCAAAAAUACUGGAAAAGGGGGGUAACCGCUAGCCUGGCUCUGGGCAAUGGUAACAAAUUCUGUCUACCAGCACCUGUAAAGCUCACAAUUCUCCGUUUUAUAGGGGGCUUAUGUGGCGGACUAUUUUUUUGGCUGGAGCAGUAGCUUCUUGGAGUCUCCGCUGGUUGCCUGGCAACUGCUCAGAGCCAAGAAAUAGUCCAGCACAUAACAGCCUGAAAAUGAAGAAUUGUAAUUUUCACACUUUGGUUUUUGUACAGAUUAAACAAACAAAAUAUAACAUGUUAAUUAGUGAGCUAGGCUGUUGCCAGUCUUUAUGCUAAGCUAUGCUAACCAGUAGCUGGCUGUAGCUUUAUAUUUAACUCUCCGCCAUUAAGCAGAACUUAAACUUUAAACUGAUCAUAUGUAACAAAAGCAAAAACACAAAAUAUUGUUUGCAAAACAUACCAUGAUCAUUUUUUCUUUCCCCUUUUUUCCUUUCUUGGUGGGGAUUGUUUUACUUUGUCAUGUACUGUCUCUAGAAAAUUCAUAUGUAUAUUUACGUUACUAUUAUUCAUGACAUCAGCAACAUGUUGUACAAAUGUAGUUGGAGUGUAAUACACAGCAAAAUGGAAGCGUUCACGAUAAUUUUUUACAGCCCCGCUGUAUAUUAGUAUCAGCCAUGUACGUAACAGCACACUACAUGUUGUCCUAUGGGGCUCCCUGGGGAAGUCAUGACAACAAUGGUUUUUCCUUUGUCUGUCCCUAAGCCCUUGUCCAAAACACAACUUGAUUUGGGCAUAAAUCCCCACUGACAGCCUCCAUAGAGUUGCUGCUGCUGUUGACAAUAAACAAGCAGUGAAAGUGUAUAUGACCACGCCAUAAAGGCUGUAAGUGGAUUGUGGUAUUACACAUUGAUUGCACUGACCAUUUCCGAGCAAUUAUUGUACCAUAAUUCAAACUGAUAUUGAGGGGACAAUUAGUGUGCUGUAGUUUUUACACCCAACAAUGUCCAAAUUGAUGCAAAACAGCUAAAUGGAACCUAAAUUGGAAAAUCAUAGCUUUUAACAAUCUGAUGAGUUGCGAAAAAAGGGUGGAAUAGCUAAAAGUGAUUAAAUCAUGAAUAAAUCAUCUCCCAUUCAA